CUCAGAAUGGAUUCCCUGACCUAAGAAUGAACUCCUUGAUCAUUUUGCAGGUGGUGCUCGGGAGCGCCAGUAGGGAGUGGGAAAGCAGACAGGGAAGGGAAAGAAGGCCAGCCAGGCACAGUGGCUCAUGCCCAUAAUUCCAGCACUUUGGGAGGCCCAGGUGGGAAUAUUAUUUAAACAGGGAUUGAUGGAGGACAAAAGGGGUUUCUGGUUCCAUGAGGCAGGAGAUAAAUGAGAUGGGAAUACUCAGCUGGCAUUGGACAGAGUCAAAGCCAAAUGACUUCUGGGUUCUAAAUUUUUUUGUUUUGUCUUUAUUCAUACGUGUUGGUUGUUUGGAUUGUUUUUCAUUGACCAUUGUAAGCUAAAUCCAUAUCAGGAGGAUCUGAAAAGCUCAUAAUAAAAAUAUAAAGUAGAGACCAAGGGUUGUAAAAGUGGCAUUUUACUCAAGAUAUAGUAAGGCUGUUUUACAAUAGUGGGUAGUAAUCAAUAAUUUAAAUGAAAACCCUCAAGGGUUAGAUGAUGAUAGAGCUGAUGCUCUUCUUAUUGACCAAGAUGCACCAACCAGUCUUGAAGAGGAUCUCGUUUUGUAAAGGAGCCAUGCAG
rnacentral:lncRNA from 1 species